GAGCAGCUCUUUCCAGUUCAUCUUCAACACCAUCAACCAUGUUCUCUGUCUCUCUACUGCUGCUGCUGGCAGCUGCUUCCUGUGUUUACAGUGACCCUGAGGUUAUCCAGUCUGGUCCUGUGGUUGUGAAGCCAGGAGAGUCUUUCACCAUCUCUUGCAAACAUUCUCAGACAUCUUGUCCACGUUGGAUCAGACAAACUAAGGGAAUAAACAUGGAGUAUUUGGGAUAUGGAUGUGCUGAUGGGAGAAAUGAUGUUGUGAAUUCCUUUAAAAACAAGAUUAGUUUCAGAGGUGACAGCUCCAGCAGCACAGUGUUUCUAGAAGGGAGGAACCUGCAGACUGAGGACACAGCUGUGUAUUACUGUGCUAGACAGUCACACUGUUACACAGCAACAGCAGACCUGUACAUGAACCCCCCCCUUCUCUAAAAUAGAUUGAAUAUAAUAGAGAAUA